rnacentral:rRNA from 1 species
UACGUAGGGGGCAAGCGUUGUCCGGAAUCAUUGGGCGUAAAGCGCGUGUAGGCGGCCCGAUAAGUCCGCUGUGAAAGUCCAGGGCUCAACCCUGGGAUGCCGGUGGAUACUGUCGGGCUCGAGUCCGGAAGAGGCGAGUGGAAUUCCUGGUGUAGCGGUGAAAUGCGCAGAUAUCAGGAGGAACACCAAUGGCGAAGGCAGCUCGCUGGGACGUGACUGACGCUGAGACGCGAAAGCGUGGGUAGCAAACAGG